rnacentral:lncRNA from 1 species
GUUUUAGGAGUUACUACCCAACGGUGGGGUAGUGGCGAUUCAUAUGCAUUAGGUGAUUCAGAAUAAUGCCCAAUGGUGGGGUACUGAACAUCGAAUUUUUAGGGGUUAUUACCCAAUGGUGGGACAUUUGGCUCCGUUUAGAGGUGAAAUCCGGAUCAUGAGCAUUUGCAUAUAGACUGACCAAUAGAAAUUAACGCAUUUUAGUCAGGUUGUAACUUAAGACGAGAUGUGGUGAUUAUGGAACUGAGUAAUGUGUCUUGUACGGUCUAUUUAUUUAUUUGGUUAUCUUUUGUGUAAAUUUAUAUAUGCAUGCAUAUUUGUACUAUGUUUGUUAGUUGGAGAUGACCCUUACUUUUGGACAGAUG